UGCUCUCCUCAGAUGGCACAAUCUUCAGGGAGAAGAGCCCGUUUCAAUUUGCAGAACCAUCCAAGGACCUGUGGUAUAUGAGGCCUACUCAUCCCCCUUUGGCACUUGCUAGUUGGCUCCACUGAUGUAACCGUGGCACGUUUUCCAGCAUCCCAAUGGGCCUCUGAUAUGUUGGGUGUGCAUCCGUUAGUCAUCUGGAAUGGCUACAAGAAUGGAUGGGCCUAAGCUGCUCAGAGAGGAAGGUUGGGCACUAAUCUGGGACUCGGGAGGCAUGAGGUCAACUCCCUGCUCUGCCACCGGCUUCCUGUGUGAGUGUGGCAGUGAGGUGGGUGUUUGCUUAAUAAACAAUGUUUGAAGUCAGUCGUCUCCAGGUAGCCGUGUUGACUGAAGCUACUGUACUGUGGCAGAGUGCAAAUACAGCAGCUUAGUGGAUAUUGUUAUGGUUCAUGUGAAGCCCUCAAACCCAACUGAUGAGGAUUUCCUCAGUGACAGUUCAGUGGAUGCCUGAAGGAUUUGACACCACCUGAUUAUUUACCAUUGUUUUUGUAAAAUGUAAAAACGGCCGCUUAGCUGAGUAUAUGAAAUGCACAGAACAGUGUGUCUGCCACCUUCUCAGUAGCUGGAAAGCAUGGUCAUUCUUUCAUUUAUGCCUAAUUAUCCAUUCAGUAUUUCACAAAAACUAUUAUCCUAACUCCGUUUUCUCAGACACAUUUUGUGUUUCUUGUAGGUUUUGCAGAAUUUACCGUUCCCUCAAAACUCCACAGUGUGCCUAUUGCUUAACUCAAAGGAAAAAACACAAUUUUGAAAAUGUUGGUUCGAUGAAAACCUGAACAUUUUCCAAAAG